GUGGUGUUGUGCACCCAUACCAGACCCGAUUUCGAAACCACCUUUUGAUUUUUUCCAUUUUGUAAUCAAUAGUGCAUCCACUUAAUUAAUAACCUGGAUUCGCCCGUGUGUAACGUCUUUGGCCUUAAAUCGGUCGAUAUAAUAAUUCAAUAGUGCAUCCACUUAAUUAAUAACCUGGAUUCGCUCGUGUGUAACGUCUUUGGCCUUAAAUCGGUCGAUAUAAUAAUGGAAAAAAAAGGUGUUUUCACCUCUUUGCCGGGAACCCAAUCAAUGUAAAUAGUCCCUCCCAGCGCAAAUCGAACUCGGGUGGCGGAAGUUACAACCGCAACCCCUUUACCACCUGACUUGUUCUGGUGAUAUAAUAAUGGAUGCAGUUAACGCCACUCCUUCCACUCUGUCGCAAUCAAUACCGAUCAGACUCAUCCAUGGUAACCGAUGAAGUCUACACCUAUAAAUAAUCAUGUCAUCUCUGCUUCAACUCAUCGCUCCCUCCACCUUAAAUAACGCUGUUGAAAUCCGGUCAUUGUGAAGAAAGGAGGUGAUGUACACACUGCCCCUGGAUUAAAAGGUCUCAGAACCAGAAGCAGGAGGGUGUCACAAUUUGUUUCACAAAGAGAGUAGAGAGAGUACUAAUCAGAUUACGAAGCUGCAAUGUCUAUCAAAAGUAUCAUCCUCAAUGAUGAGAUUCUGUAGUCUUACAUGGCAACUCUUCCAAAGGAUGUUGGAAAGAUGUGUUGGAGAGCUAUUCAAGAGUACCCAAAGGUUUAGCUUUUAACAUAGUUAAUAAGUUGUUAUAGGUUCACUGACUUAAAGUUUUAUGUUUAUUAUUUUCCUUCUCUUCCCAUAUAUCUCCUUAAAGUUAAUUUCAGAAGCAAAUCAAUAAAAAAUUUGAGAUAAUGAAUUCACUUUCUUUU